AGCGACUUAUAUUCUGUAGCAAGGUUAACCGAAUAGGGGAGCCGAAGGGAAACCGAGUCUUAACCGGGCGUUAAGUUGCAGGGUAUAGACCCGAAACCCGGUGAUCUAGCCAUGGGCAGGUUGAAGGUUGGGUAACACUAACUGGAGGACCGAACCGACUAAUGUUGAAAAAUUAGCGGAUGACUUGUGGCUGGGGGUGAAAGGCCAAUCAAACCGGGAGAUAGCUGGUUCUCCCCGAAAGCUAUUUAGGUAGCGCCUCGUGAAUUCAUCUCCGGGGGUAGAGCACUGUUUCGGCAAGGGGGUCAUCCCGACUUACCAACCCGAUGCAAACUGCGAAUACCGGAGAAUGUUAUCACGGGAGACACACGGCGGGUGCUAACGUCCGUCGUGAAGAGGGAAACAACCCAGACCGCCAGCUAAGGUCCCAAAGUCAUGGUUAAGUGGGAAACGAUGUGGGAAGGCCCAGACAGCCAGGAUGUUGGCUUAGAAGCAGCCAUCAUUUAAAGAAAGCGUAAUAGCUCACUGGUCGAGUCGGCCUGCGCGGAAGAUGUAACGGGGCUAAACCAUGCACCGAAGCUGCGGCAGCGACACUGUGUGUUGUUGGGUAGGGGAGCGUUCUGUAAGCCUGUGAAGGUGUCUGUGAGGAUGCUGGAGGUAUCAGAAGUGCGAAUGCUGACAUAAGUAACGAUAAAGCGGGUGAAAAGCCCGCUCGCCGGAAGACCAAGGGUUCCUGUCCAACGUUAAUCGGGGCAGGGUGAGUCGACCCCUAAGGCGAGGCCGAAAGGCGUAGUCGAUGGGAAACAGGUUAAUAUUCCUGUACUUGGUGUUACUGCGAAGGGGGGACGGAGAAGGCUAUGUUGGCCGGGCGACGGUUGUCCCGGUUUAAGCGUGUAGGCUGGUUUUCCAGGCAAAUCCGGAAAAUCAAGGCUGAGGCGUGAUGACGAGGCACUACGGUGCUGAAGCAACAAAUGCCCUGCUUCCAGGAAAAGCCUCUAAGCAUCAGGUAACAUCAAAUCGUACCCCAAACCGACACAGGUGGUCAGGUAGAGAAUACCAAGGCGCUUGAGAGAACUCGGGUGAAGGAACUAGGCAAAAUGGUGCCGUAACUUCGGGAGAAGGCACGCUGAUAUGUAGGUGAAGUCCCUCGCGGAUGGAGCUGAAAUCAGUCGAAGAUACCAGCUGGCUGCAACUGUUUAUUAAAAACACAGCACUGUGCAAACACGAAAGUGGACGUAUACGGUGUGACGCCUGCCCGGUGCCGGAAGGUUAAUUGAUGGGGUCAGCGCAAGCGAAGCUCUUGAUCGAAGCCCCGGUAAACGGCGGCCGUAACUAUAACGGUCCUAAGGUAGCGAAAUUCCUUGUCGGGUAAGUUCCGACCUGCACGAAUGGCGUAAUGAUGGCCAGGCUGUCUCCACCCGAGACUCAGUGAAAUUGAACUCGCUGUGAAGAUGCAGUGUACCCGCGGCAAGACGGAAAGACCCCGUGAACCUUUACUAUAGCUUGACACUGAACAUUGAGCCUUGAUGUGUAGGAUAGGUGGGAGGCUUUGAAGUGUGGACGCCAGUCUGCAUGGAGCCGACCUUGAAAUACCACCCUUUAAUGUUUGAUGUUCUAACGUGGACCCGUGAUCCGGGUUGCGGACAGUGUCUGGUGGGUAGUUUGACUGGGGCGGUCUCCUCCUAAAGAGUAACGGAGGAGCACGAAGGUUGGCUAAUCCUGGUCGGACAUCAGGAGGUUAGUGCAAUGGCAUAAGCCAGCUUGACUGCGAGCGUGACGGCGCGAGCAGGUGCGAAAGCAGGUCAUAGUGAUCCGGUGGUUCUGAAUGGAAGGGCCAUCGCUCAACGGAUAAAAGGUACUCCGGGGAUAACAGGCUGAUACCGCCCAAGAGUUCAUAUCGACGGCGGUGUUUGGCACCUCGAUGUCGGCUCAUCACAUCCUGGGGCUGAAGUAGGUCCCAAGGGUAUGGCUGUUCGCCAUUUAAAGUGGUACGCGAGCUGGGUUUAGAACGUCGUGAGACAGUUCGGUCCCUAUCUGCCGUGGGCGCUGGAGAACUGAGGGGGGCUGCUCCUAGUACGAGAGGACCGGAGUGGACGCAUCACUGGUGUUCGGGUUGUCAUGCCAAUGGCACUGCCCGGUAGCUAAAUGCGGAAGAGAUAAGUGCUGAAAGCAUCUAAGCACGAAACUUGCCCCGAGAUGAGUUCUCCCUGACCCUUUAAGGGUCCUGAAGGAACGUUGAAGACGACGACGUUGAUAGGCCGGGUGUGUAAGCGCAGCGAUGCGUUGAGCUAACCGGUACUAAUGAACCGUGAGGCUUAACCUU
rnacentral:rRNA from 1 species